GAUGAACGCUAGCUACAGGCUUAACACAUGCAAGUCGAGGGGCAGCAUGGUCUUAGCUUGCUAAGGCCGAUGGCGACCGGCGCACGGGUGAGUAACACGUAUCCAACCUGCCGUCUACUCUUGGACAGCCUUCUGAAAGGAAGAUUAAUACAAGAUGGCAUCAUGAGUCCGCAUGUUCACAUGAUUAAAGGUAUUCCGGUAGACGAUGGGGAUGCGUUCCAUUAGAUAGUAGGCGGGGUAACGGCCCACCUAGUCUUCGAUGGAUAGGGGUUCUGAGAGGAAGGUCCCCCACAUUGGAACUGAGACACGGUCCAAAAUCCUACGGGAGGCAGCAGUGAGGAAUAUUGGUCAAUGGGCGCAGGCCUGAACCAGCCAAGUAGCGUGAAGGAUGACUGCCCUAUGGGUUGUAAACUUCUUUUAUAAAGGAAUAAAGUCGGGUAUGUAUACCCGUUUGCAUGUACUUUAUGAAUAAGGAUCGGCUAACUCCGUG
rnacentral:rRNA from 1 species